UACGUAGGGAGCAAGCGUUGUUCGGAUUUACUGGGCGUAAAGGGCGCGUAGGCGGCAGAUCAAGUCAGCUGUGAAAUCUCCGAGCUUAACUCGGAACUGUCAGCUGAUACUGUUUUGCUAGAGUGCGUAAGGGGCAAUCGGAAUUCUUGGUGUAGCGGUGAAAUGCGUAGAUAUCAAGAGGAACACCUGAGGUGAAGACGGGUUGCUGGGCCGACACUGACGCUGAGUGCGCGAAAGCCAGGGGAGCAAACGGG
rnacentral:rRNA from 1 species